CUGGUAUUUUAGGAGAAAAAGUUUUAAGAAUCUAACCUAUAUAGUUUCUGACAUUCUGUGUUCUUUGCGAGUUUAUGUAAUUUUAUGCUUAAAAUAUCAUCCUUAGAAUAUUAUACUUGUUUUCUAGCAUAACUGAUAACAUUUACUAAAAGUAGAGAUUAAAGGACCCUUCAAUUAUCAUGUUCUUCACGUUUCUAUUAGGAGCUUCUUCCCUCACCUUGGUAGUUUCAUUGGCAUAAAAGCUACAAUUUUGGUAAACAUCAAUACUAUACACUUGGCAAAAGAUGUAUUUAAUUGUUAUCUGCUCAAUCCUGAGAUAUGAUGCAAGCAAUGUUAAUGCACACAUGCAGCUCCUCAUUACUUUUCUGAAAAAUUGUAGGAACUGUUUCAAAUGUUUGGUUUGCCUUUUAUUAUUGCACCUACAGAACAGAAGCUCAGUGUGCUUAUAUAGAAAUGACAAACCUUGUUGAUGGUGUUGUAACUAAUGAUUCUUAUGUCUUCUUGUUUGGAGCUCGAAGUGUCUACAAGUACAUAAUCGAUGAUCGGAAAUAUGUGGAGACAUACUUCGUGAAGGUGUCUGUUCCUUUAACUUAUCAAUCAAUAGCUUGUAGUUUCCAUAUUUUAAGUAAAUUUAUACCUCUAAUUAUCUCAAAAGCUUUAGUUCUACUUCAUCUGUACAACAUACUCAGCAGAAUUUUGAGGGCUAAUAUGUUGGGCAUAGUCUGGAGCAGAAAGUUCCAUGUACUGUAUUGUACCCAGUCUGUUCCAACAUGCACCAGCAACACAUCUUCAUACAAGUACCCAGUCAUUUUAGUCCUCUAUUGGCAAGGAACAUACACUUGAAUUCUUAGCUACUUAAUUAUUCAUGGUGUUUGCCUUUGUCAUUAGCAAGUUAUGCUUCUUUUGGUAGAUUGUAGAGCCAGUUCUAUUUGAUGUUUGGUGCAUAAAACACAUUCUUGUAGAGUUAUAGUUAUGGUCAAAUAGAAGAAUGCUCGAAUACAUCCCAUAGGUUUGUGAUUUUGCAAAUAUUUCUUUCUCUUAUCUCAGGAUAUUUAGUGCGAGCUUGGCUUAGAUCAAGACAAACUAAUCCGUAUGGCAUUGCUUCUUGGAAGUGAUUAUACUGAAGGAGUUAGGUUGUGUUGGGAAAAGUUUGGAUGGACUACCCAGAAGGCUGAUGAAUUACUUGUACCUGUUUUAAAGGAGUAGAACAAACACGAGACGCAGCUGCGGCUGGAGGCAUUUUAUACAUUCAAUGAGAGGUUACAAAAGCAUGUAGUCAAUGAAUUAAGAAGGCUUUGAAAGGAAUUACAGGCACUUUGUCAUCUGAUUUGACUAAUGAACUUGUCAAAGAAGGGCUCAGUUCUAGGAAAAAACGAUGCACGGGACUCUCUACAGGAGAGGAAUAUAAACCUGAGAACUCUACUGGUGGUAACUCUAAAAGGGGUAAGAAAGUUCCGAGACAAUGGAGAGGGCAGAAGACUGAGAAAGAAUUUAUUUAUUCAGAGGAUCUGGCUGGAGAGUCACUUGUACUGGUAAAAGAUGAUAUAGAUGAUACUAGCGUUCUGAGUCUGAAUAGGACAGUUAAAGGGAGAAGAGGAAGGGGAAGGGGAAGGGGAAGAGGAGCAAGAGGAAGGGGACAGGGCAGAGGUAGAAGCAGUCCAAUAAAGGCAGACUCUGAUUCUACUGAUGAUGGUGAUGAUUAUAAUGCCAAUGUUCAAUUGAGCAUGCAUGUAAGUAUGCAAUACACAUAUGCAUACUUACAUCAAGUUUUCCUCUCUACUGUUGUCAACAAAAGGUUGAGCAUGCAUGUAAGUAUGCAAUACACAUAAAUAUGUCCUUGUAUCAUGCAGCAAAUCCAAUUGUCUUAUUGCCAAUAAGAUUGAUAGCUGAUCACAUUUUUCCUUGAUUUUUUUUUUCCUGUCUGAUUGCUCGAGUGUUCCUUGUGAUUGUGUGUUACCAUGCAACCGGCGCUCGUAGCGGCAGGGGAGACCGACGGCUGCGGCAGCAGAGGAUACUCUAUUUCUGCCACACCGUAGGGGAAGCCGUUGGCGAUGUCGAAUGAUCACGACCGGCAGUGGCCGGCAGCGGUGUUGUGGCUAGGGCAGCGUCGCCGAUGAGUGGCUACGAGGGGUGGUCCGCUAGCUACGAAACAGCGGUCGCGGCCUUCUUGCUCGAGCGAGAUGGGGAAGCGAGGAGAGAAGGUUGCUGGCCGGGGCGUAGCGGCGACAGUGGGCGUUGGCCGGGGAGCAACGACAGCUGUGGUCGUUGACUGGGAAGCAGCGCCGACGGUGGAGAAGAGGCAGUGGUGGUCAGUGCCGAGAAGCAAGGGUGCGGCUGACGGCUGCCAAC